UACGAAGGGGGCUAGCGUUGUUCGGAUUUACUGGGCGUAAAGCGCACGUAGGCGGGUUGUUAAGUCAGGGGUGAAAUCCUGGAGCUCAACUCCAGAACUGCCUUUGAUACUGGCAACCUAGAGGCUGGAAGAGGUUAGUGGAAUUCCCAGUGUAGAGGUGAAAUUCGUAGAUAUUGGGAAGAACACCAGUGGCGAAGGCGGCUAACUGGUCCAGAUCUGACGCUGAGGUGCGAAAGCGUGGGGAGCAAACAG
rnacentral:rRNA from 1 species